UGAGGAAUAUUGGUCAAUGGGCGAGAGCCUGAACCAGCCAAGUAGCGUGCAGGAUGACGGCCCUAUGGGUUGUAAACUGCUUUUAUGUGGGGAUAAAGUGCGUGACGUGUCAUGCAUUGCAGGUACCACAUGAAUAAGGACCGGCUAAUUCCGUGCCAGCAGCCGCGGUAAUACGGAAGGUCCGGGCGUUAUCCGGAUUUAUUGGGUUUAAAGGGAGCGUAGGCCGUUUGGUAAGCGUGUUGUGAAAUGUAGGAGCUCAACUUCUAGAUUGCAGCGCGAACUGUCAGACUUGAGUGCGCACAACGUAGGCGGAAUUCAUGGUGUAGCGGUGAAAUGCUUAGAUAUCAUGAAGAACUCCGAUUGCGAAGGCAGCUUACGGGAGCGCAACUGACGCUGAAGCUCGAAGGUGCGGGUAUCGAACAGG
rnacentral:rRNA from 1 species